AUUGAACGCUGGCGGCAGGCUUAACACAUGCAAGUCGAGCGAGCGGCGGACGGGUGAGUAAUGUCUGGGAAACUGCCUGAUGGAGGGGGAUAACUACUGGAAACGGUAGCUAAUACCGCAUACCAUCAGAUGUGCCCAGAUGGGAUUAGCUAGUUGGUGAGGUAAUGGCUCACCAAGGCGACGAUCCCUAGCUGGUCUGAGAGGAUGAUCAGCCACACUGGGACUGAGACACGGCCCAGACUCCUACGGGAGGCAGCAUUGGGGAAUAUUGCACAAUGGGCGCAAGCCUGAUGCAGCCAUGCCGCGUGUGUGAAGAAGGCCCUAGGUUUGUAAAGUACUUUCAGUCGGGAGGCGUUACCGACAGAAGAAGCACCGGCUAACUCCGUGCCAGCCGCCGCGGUAAUUC
rnacentral:rRNA from 1 species